AGAGUUUGAUCAUGGCUCAGAACGAACGCUGGCGGCAGGCCUAACACAUGCAAGUCGAGCGCACUCUUCGGAGUGAGCGGCGGACGGGUUAGUAACGCGUGGGAACGUGCCCAGAUCUAAGGAAUAGCCACUGGAAACGGUGAGUAAUACCUUAUACGCCCUUCGGGGGAAAGAUUUAUCGGAUUUGGAUCGGCCCGCGUUAGAUUAGAUAGUUGGUGGGGUAACGGCCUACCAAGUCUACGAUCUAUAGCUGGUUUUAGAGGAUGAUCAGCAACACUGGGACUGAGACACGGCCCAGACUCCUACGGGAGGCAGCAGUGGGGAAUCUUGGACAAUGGGGGCAACCCUGAUCCAGCCAUGCCGCGUGAGUGAUGAAGGCCUUAGGGUCGUAAAGCUCUUUCGCCAGGGAUGAUAAUGACAGUACCUGGUAAAGAAACCCCGGCUAACUCCGUGCCAGCAGCCGCGGUAAUACGGAGGGGGUUAGCGUUGUUCGGAAUUACUGGGCGUAAAGCGCGCGUAGGCGGACCAGAAAGUUGGGGGUGAAAUCCCGGGGCUCAACCCCGGAACUGCCUCCAAAACUCCUGGUCUUGAGUUCGAGAGAGGUGAGUGGAAUUCCGAGUGUAGAGGUGAAAUUCGUAGAUAUUCGGAGGAACACCAGUGGCGAAGGCGGCUCACUGGCUCGAUACUGACGCUGAGGUGCGAAAGUGUGGGGAGCAAACAGGAUUAAAUACCCUGGUAGUCCACACCGUANACGAUGAAUGCCAGUCGUCGGGCAGCAUGCUAUUCGGUGACACACCUAACGGAUUAAG
rnacentral:rRNA from 1 species